AUGGAUGAAGCCAUGAGUUUCCUGCUCCCCCUGCUUGUCCUGCUGGUGGCCAGUACAGCUGUCCUGCUGGCCACCUGCAUUUGGAAGGAACGGAAGCGCCUCAGGGGCCGGGCCAGGGGGUCCCGGCGCAGCCGAGCGACUCCAGAGGCUCCCGGUUCCCCCCCGGCUGAGGAGACCCCUCCCCACGGCCCGGCUGCCCCCGGGAGCCCCCUGUACAUCCCCUGCGGCUGCGGCCCCGGCUGCGCCCCCUGUGCGACAGCGGCCCGGGAGCUGCAGGACCUGGUGACACCGCUGUGGCCUGGGGUGUCCUUCCCGCAGGACUCGGAGAUGUGGCAGCUGUUGUGGGAGGACCUGGGGCAGCUGCUGGAGCGAGGCCACCUGCCCUGCUGCGCCUCCUCCUCCUGCUCCUGCUUCUUCAGCUCCUCUGGGAGCCUCCAUCCUUCCCGGAGCCUCAGUGGCUGCUGCCAGACUCCGGAUGGGGAAGACCCCGUGGACAGAUCUUGCUGCUCCCCUGGAGCUGCAGGCAUGAGGAGAAAUUUGUCAUCCUUGAGGAUGCACGUGGCCAAGAAGAACCUGGAAGUAAAGCUGAGAGCCCAGCCCGUUCCAGUGAGGCGUUCCCAGGAGCAACUGGUGCAGCGGCAAGCGUCACUCCAUUCCUCGGAGAGCCUCCCCUGCUCCUCGAGCCUCAGCGGGAGCUGCCAGACUGUGGACAGUGGAGAAGAUGCCACGGACAGCUCUCCGUGUUCCCCGGAAUCCGCGGAUAUCAGCGGAACCCGCUCAGUCCUGAGGAUGCACAUGGCCAAGAAGAGCCUGGAAGUCAAACUGGGAGCCCAGCCUGCUCCAGUGAGGAGCUCCCAGCAGCGAGUGGCACAGCAGGAAGUGUGCUGGAGCCGCAGGCGGCCGAUCCACAGCUCCCACAGCACUGCAGUGCAGCCAAAUAGGAGCACCCGCUGCUCGGAGUCCAAGAUCCUCCAGAGGCAAAGGGAGCUGGAAUUCCCCCAUCUCCGGGGAGCUCCUCCAAGCCGGAUGAGGCUCCUAUUGGCCGCUCAGAUACUUCUGAGGAUGCUCUGUUUUAAAUAA
rnacentral:lncRNA from 1 species